UGUUCUCAUACUGAGAUGGUACAAGUGUA
rnacentral:piRNA from 1 species